rnacentral:rRNA from 1 species
UCUUCGGGGAUGAUUAAACCGGCGCACGGGUGAGUAACACGUGAGUGACCUGCCUUUUAGACUGGAACAACUUACCGAAAGGUGAGCUAAUGCCGGAUGAGUUAUAUAAGUGCAUGUUUAUAUAGGAAAAGUUGGGGAGACCUGACGCUGAAAGAUGGACUCGCGUCCCAUUAGCUAGUUGGUAGGGUAAUGGCCUACCAAGGCGACGAUGGGUAGCCGGCCUGAGAGGGUGGCCGGCCACACUGGGACUGAGACACGGCCCAGACUCCUACGGGAGGCAGCAGUGGGGAAUUUUGCGCAAUGCUCGUAAGAGUGACGCAGCGACGCCGCGUGAAUGACGAAGGCCUUCGGGUCGUAAAGUUCUUUCGACAGGGAAGAAAAUGCCUAUAAGUAACUGUGUAUGUAUUGACGGUACCUGUAUAAGCAGCCCCGGCUAACUCCGUGCCAGCAGCCGCGGUAAUACGGAGGGGGCGAACGUUGUUCGGAGUGACUGGGCGUAAAGAGCACGUAGGCGGUGUUGUAAGUCAUUAGUCAAAGACUAGAGCUCAACUUUAGUAAGGCUAGUGAUACUAUAAUACUAGAGUAUCAGAGAGGAUUGCAGAAUUCCUGGUGUAGCGGUGAAAUGCGUAGAUAUCAGGAGGAAUACCGUUAGCGAAGGCGGCAAUCUGGCUGGAAACUGACGCUGAGGUGCGAAAGCGUGGGUAGCAAACAGGAUUAGAUACCCUGGUAGUCCACGCUGUAAACGAUGGAUGCUAGGUGUUGGGCUUUUAAGUUCAGUGCCGCAGCAAACGCGAUAAGCAUCCCGCCUGGGGAG